ACACGUAAGGGGCAAGCGUUAUCCGGAAUCAUUGGGCGUAAAGAGUCCGUAGGUGGUAUGUUAAGUUGGAUGUUAAAUUUUUGAGCUCAACUCAAAAAAUGUGUCCAAAACUGGCAAACUGGAGACAGGUAGAGGCAAGUGGAAUUCUGCAUGUAGGGGUAAUAUCCGUAGAUAUGCAGAGGAACACCAAAAGCGAAGGCAGCUUGCUGGACCUGUUCUGACACUAAAGGACGAAAGCGUGGGGAGCAAACGGGAUUAGAUACCCGAGUAGUCC
rnacentral:rRNA from 1 species